AGGAGACUUGGUCUGACUGCAGGCGGCAGGAAAAGUUCAUUUCCUGAGGGAAGGCGUGAGUAACCCAGUGGAUUCUCAGCAAGACAGGCCCAGUUCCCCACUGGAGGCUGCCAAUCGCUGAGUCAGCAGAGAAUGGAAGCUCGAAGCAGAGGGCAGCCAGCCCCAGAAAAACAAAGGGGCAUGAAAGAUCCAGAGGAAGCCUUUCCCUGCCCUCCAGCUGUUACUUCCUCUCCGGUGGCCCCUCUGCCCAACUGAAGGGACAGACCUGGACUACAGCCCGACUUCCCUGCCUCUCAUCUUUUUAGCCCCGUGAUUCACAACCGGGGGGCAGUUUGGUGACGUCUGGAGACGUCUGGAGACAUUAUUGGCCGUCACAACUGCGGGGGAAGGUGCCGCUGGCGUCUGGUGGGUAGAGGCCGAGGAUGCUGUCAGACACUCUACAAUGCACACGGUCACCCCUCAAAAAAAGUGAUCUGGCCCUACGUGUCAACAGGGCCGCGGCUGAGAAGCCCUGUGUAUAGCCGGAUCCUGCCUCUUUUUAGCAGAAGUGGAGACAAGGCUGCGCAGGAUCCCAGAGAACCCGCCCCCCCUAGCUGCAGAGCCACAGGCAGAAGCCGCUCUGGCUCUGGAAAGAAACCCAGGUAGUCACGGCCACCUGGGGGCUGCUGGAGGGG